AAGAGACGCAUUUAUUAGAUAAAAAGCCAAUGCAUGCUUUUACAGUAUGAAAAUUGGUGAUUUAUAAUAACUUAGCAAAUCGCAAAGUGAAAACAGGCGAUAAAUCAUUCAAGUUUCUGACCUAUCAGCUUUCGACGGUAUGGUAUUGGCUUACCGUGGCAGUGACGGUUAACGGGGGAUUAGGGUUCGAUUCCGGAGAGGGAGCCUGAGAAACGGCUACCACAUCUAAGGAAGGCAGCAGGCGCGCAAAUUACCCAAUUCUAACAGUUUGAGAGAGGUAGUAACAAGAAAUAACAAUACAAGGCAGUUAAAAUGCUUUGUAAUUGGAAUGAUAGAAAUUUAAACCCUUUUUAAAGUAUCAAUUGGAGGGCAAGUCUGGUGCCAGCAGCCGCGGUAAUUCCAGCUCCAAUAGCGUAUAUUAAAAUUGUUGCAGUUAAAAAGCUCGUAGUUGAAGUUCUGCUAAAAGUAACCGGUCUGCUUUUAAUAAAGGUGGUAUCUUGGUGUGUAUUUAGCAAUGAUGUCCUUUGAAGUGUUUUUUACUUUAUUGUAAUAAAGCAUAUUCAGGACUUUUACUUUGAGAAAAUU
rnacentral:rRNA from 1 species